rnacentral:rRNA from 1 species
CCUACGGGAGGCAGCAGUGGGGAAUAUUGCACAAUGGGGGGAACCCUGAUGCAGCGACGCCGCGUGGGUGAAGGAAUAUUUCGGUAUGUAAAGCCCUAUCAGCAGGGAAGAACAAUGACGGUACCUGACUACGAAGCACCGACUAAAUACGUGCCAGCAGCCGCGGUAAUAUGUAUGGUGCAAGCGUUAUCCGGAUUUACUGGGUGGAAAGUGAGCGGAGGCGGCGCGUUAAGCCCAGUGUGAAAGGCCGCGGCCCAACCGAGGGACUGCAUUGGGAACUGGCGCGCUGGAGUGCCGGAGGGGUAGGCGGAAUUCCUGGUGUAGCGGUGAAAUGCGUAGAUAUUAGGAGGAACACCAGUGGCGAAGGCGGCUUACUGGACGGUGACUGACGCUGAGGCUCGAAAGCGUGGGGAGCAAACAGGAUUAGAUACCCGUGUAGUC